CCUACGGGGGGCAGCAGUGAGGAAUAUUGGUCAAUGGGCGUAAGCCUGAACCAGCCAAGUCGCGUGAGGGAUGAAGGUUCUAUGGAUCGUAAACCUCUUUUAUAAGGGAAUAAAGUGUGGGACGUGUCCUGUUUUGUAUGUACCUUAUGAAUAAGGAUCGGCUAACUCCGUGCCAGCAGCCGCGGUAAUACGGAGGAUCCGAGCGUUAUCCGGAUUUAUUGGGUUUAAAGGGUGCGUAGGCGGCCUUUUAAGUCAGCGGUGAAAGUCUGUGGCUCAACCAUAGAAUUGCCGUUGAAACUGGGAGGCUUGAGUAUGUUAGAGGCAGGCGGAAUGCGUGGUGUAGCGGUGAAAUGCUUAGAUAUCACGCAGAACCCCGAUUGCGAAGGCAGCCUGCCAAGCCAUGACUGACGCUGAUGCACGAAAGCGUGGGGAUCAAACAGGAUUAGAACCCCUAGUC
rnacentral:rRNA from 1 species